rnacentral:rRNA from 1 species
AAAGAAUAUUCCACAAUGGGCGAAAGCCUGAUGGAGCGAUACCGCGUGAGCGAUGAAGGUCGUAAGAUCGUAAACCUCUUUUUUGGGGGAAGAAUUCUGACGGUACCCCAAGAAUAAGCACCGGCUAACUCCGUGCCAGCAGCCGCGGUAAUACGGAGGGUGCAAGCGUUACCCGGAAUCAUUGGGCGUAAAGCGUCCGCAGGUGGUUCGUUAAGUUAAAUGUUAAAUCUCGGAGCUCAACUCCGAGCUUGUGUUUAAAACUGGCGAACUAGAGAAUUUUAGAGGUGCGUGGAAUUCUGUGUGUAGGGGUAAAAUCCGUAGAUACACAGAGGAACACCAAAAGCGAAAGCAGCGCACUGGAAAAUUUCUGACACUCAUGGACGAAAGCGUGGGGAUCAAAC